UACAGAGGGUGCAAGCGUUGUUCGGAAUUAUUGGGCGUAAAGGGAGUGUAGGCGGUUUGUUAAGUCUUCUGUGAAAUCUACGGGCUUAGCCUGUAAAGUGCAGAGGAAACUGGCAGACUUGAGUGUCGGAGAGGAUAGGGGAAUACCCAGUGUAGAGGUGAAAUUCGUAGAGAUUGGGUGGAACACCAGUGGCGAAGGCGGCUCACUGGCCCGGUACUGACGCUGAGGUGCGAAAGCGUGGGGAGCAAACAGG
rnacentral:rRNA from 1 species